CGCAAAAGAGAGAGAGAGAGAGUGGCUAGAAAGAUGUCCCCAGGGGAGAGGAGGGACCCUAGAGUACUCGUGUUGUGGGAAGUCAACCUUGGAGUGCAGGUGGUUCAUCGCGGUCACAGAAGGGAGGGCAGAGGAUCGGGUGCAACGUGCUGGGUGGGUGCUGUGUGGCGGAGCUGGGAGACAGGCUCUCGGGUUGCGGCAGCUCCCCCGAGGAACAGGCAGCUCUUCAUCUGGGUGCAGGACGGCGGAGAAGGUGAAGGAGGUGUGAGAAGAUGGGAAGGAAUUGCUUGGGGAAAACAGAGGGACCAAAGGAGCCUCAGGUGACUGCCAGGCAGCACUGAAGACCCCUCGAGGCCAGCCUUCCUGUACAUGAAGUGAGACCCGGCCACAUGGUGGUGUUUUCCUCCAGCCACGUGCCACUGCCGGGGGACAAGCACAGAGCGCAGGCAUCAACCGAGGCCCCAGAGAGCUUCCCCGCCCCUUCCACCAUGUGAGGACACAGAGAAGCCACCUGUGAAUCUGGAAGCCGAUACUUGGACCUCCCAGCCUCCAGAUCUGCAAGAAAUAAGUGUCUGCACUUUGUAGGCCACCUUGUCUGGGACCUUACAAUCCGAAGAGUCAACCCCGAUGUAAACUGUGGGCGUGAGUUAAUGGCACAGAGGUGCUGGCUCAUCAAGUGGAUCAAGUGGCCACACUCAGGCAAGAUGUCAACAGUAAGAGAAAUCGCGUAUUGGGGAGAGAAGAUUUAAGGGAACGCUCUGCUAGUGUCUGUGCCAUUUUUCUGUAUAUCUAAAACUUCUUUAAAAGAUAAAAGUCAAUUAAAGAUUGGAAACAAAACCUGUUGUUGGGCUGGGGUGGUGGCUCAGUCGUGAAGCACUUGCC